UAUCUCAAGUACAGCCUAGACGCAGAUCACAUUUGCCCUGCGGGACCAGGGAAUAGUCACCUGCAGCCCACCUGUAAAGGAGUUCCUUGAUCUCUGACCACCUCUGCGCAUGGAGUUGCAGAUGCAGAGUUCUGGAGAAUCAUGAAUCGGAACUUGCCGAACACAUUCUGUGCUGUGCUCGACCGUCACACCCCUUGUUUGAUGACCUUGUAAUGACAGAGGACAUCCAAAGAGUGGAAGGAUCGCUGACGCUUUAGUUGACAUUCUGAGGGGUCAUGAUCUAGGCUACAGGAACUACAUGAUGUCCACAAGGCAUACCACUGUUCUCCGUGCUCUUCCUGUGUUACUGCGUGAAGACAUGCAAGGUGGAGGAUUCUGACUAGCCAGAGCUUGGUGACGCACCGGUAGCCCUACUUAACAAUCGUCAGUGACAGCGCCGAAAAUCAAGACCACUACAAUCCGGUCAAGAUUUCCGUUGUGGUGACCGACUAUGGGAAUCAGAGGGAGGAUAGACCAUAUUUUUAUAUUCUGUGUCCUCUCUCCUCCCCUCCUUUUCAUAACCCAUUGGUGGACACGAGGAAUUAAGGAGAGAGGAUGCGGGGAAUCGAGGAAAUGCAAUUGAAAUUACGCCAAUGAAAACUGUCUGUGUUCGUAUUGCACAUAAUAAUAGGAGAAGCUUGUCACCAUGAUGUUUUAUUCUGCACAGACUCUAUUGUCUCGAUGACCACUGACCUUUUACUGUGGGGGUCAACUUUACUCUUUAGAUAAUGUUCAUUAUUACUGAUUCAUUGACAUAUAGUUACUUUGUUCCAAGCAUGUUGUCCAUUGUUUGUAAAACAUGGCACUUGGAGAGGCCUACCACUGCCAAAAUGAUUUUGGGGCUUACAUAUGGAGCAAUGUAUCAGUGGAGUUCAGGGUUGGGGUCAAUUCCAAUUCAGUCAUUUCAGGAAGUAAACUGAAAGUCCAAUUGCAAUUUUAUUUAAAUUCUCAUAAGAGGCAAUGAGGAAAAUUUGAAUUGAUAUUGGAAAAUGUGGAAUAAGUCAAGGGGUAUGAAUAGUUUCUGAAGGCACUGUAACUCUCAGCUGACAAAAACCAUAUUAUGAAUGAGCUAAUAGCUAUGACUAUUUACAAUUUAUCAUGAGGGGUGAGCUAACCAGUGAUCAAAUAUUUUUUUGUAAAACACUUUCUAAAAGUCGAAAGUAAUCCGACGGUAGCAUAUGUGCUUGUUGCCAUGUUUGUUUCCCGCGUCAACCGAAGAUAAGACGACGUGACAAGAUGAGGUGGGUCUUCUUCUUCUUCUUCUUCUUCUGCUUCUUCUUCUUCUAUGGUAUUAUGGUGGUCCGCAAACAUACUGUACGUUAGAGGUGCAUGCCACCACCUACUGUGUGGGGUAAAAUCAUUAACGCAGAAAAACACGGUGAAAUAGGUAAAGGGUAAAACAAAUGUUACAAACAUUUAUUCACCCCAAAAUCGACAAAACCAAAAAUCUAUGUACUUCUUUAAUCAGAUUCAAAUCUCUACUUCGAUCACUACAGGCUCUGGGGCCUGAGAGAAAAGUCCAUCUUCAGAAACUAUUCCCUGCAACGUUUCAGCUGUAAAGUCCUGGAGGUCCAGAAACCUUUUUGACACAUUCACAAUUAUGUAAAGUUUCUUUGAUAUCUUGUUAGUUUGACUUGUACAAAUUAUCACCUGCGCAAUAAAUGCAACAAAAUCCACCUUCUUCCCUAUCAGUACUUCAGGAUCCUUCAACUGAUGAACAACACCUUCUGCAGGCAUCCUUUGCCAUUUCUUCCUCAUUUGCACUGGCUCCUUCAGCUAUUUGUACUACCUCUGCAUAGGAGACCUGUUCGACAGCCCAGAUUAUUGCUAUUUCGACCUUCUUCACCCUUACACAGCACUCCUUUAACUUGAGAACGGUUCCCACCACAAUUGCAGCACCGUGUAUCCACUGACUCUUCCACAACAUAUUUAUUCCAUAUGCACACACUUGCCACGUGGCCCAACUUUUUACAUUUAAGACACUGCAACGAUCCAUUCACAUGAGCUCUCACUGCGUAUCUCAUAUACCCCAGCUUUACAUGUGUCGGAAGAUACUCUUCAUCAAAUAGCAAGAGCACUGAUAGGCUUUCCUCCUUCCUUCCAUUCACAAUAUGGUUCAAUUGAUGUGCCUCCACUAAUCCUGGUACGUGGUGCUUUAGAUUUUCAGCCUCAAUUUCCACCGCGACGCCAGAGAGGACACCUUUUACCAGUGCCCUGUUCAGAAAGCUUUCUACUUCAUACUCAGAUAAUUCUCUGAGACACAAUGCACUUUCCUUUUGUUCUUCUGAAAUACAAUAAAUCAACACCAUACCACUCCUGGUCACUUUGAUUGACUCCAUCUUUCCCAGUGUGUCCUCCACCGUCUCCUUGAAUGCAAAUUGAUCUCCCAAAAACACAUCCUUAUCCUUGAAACGUACUCCAACAAGGAACAAGGCAUUAUUAUACAUCUUAAUGGCCUAUCUUCAUUAACAACAUUAGCCCGUUUUGCUCCAUCCUUCAAUGUUUUCCGCAAAUUUCCAUUAACUUUACUCAAUGUGCCAUCCGACUCAAACAUUGCUUCCGCUUCCCAUGCGGUGGCAGCCAUCUUCCUCGAUGAGUUGGGUCUGUUUGCAGUAUGAAUGUUGAAGGCGAAGAGGGUGUGUCAUCUACCAUCAUUCACUUCCCAUCAUUCCCUUCCGGAAGUUUACUCGAAAGACGAGUGAGCCAUCCCUUCACCUUGUUUUGCUAUAACGUCUUUGGUCUGACAGACAUUUACGUGACACCCAGAAUGCAUUGAAUGAUGUCAUCAAACAUGGCUCCAUACAUUGCCGGCAAAUAGAAUAGCAAUAGCUCAUCAUAGUCGGUACAACCUUCAAAAAUGUCCAUUACAAUCUAUGCAAGAAUCGGAAUGCAUGAUUUGUCAACAGUACUUGAAAACGUGAA